rnacentral:rRNA from 1 species
UAAGUCAGCCACGAAUAGGCUAUCCCAACUAACGGCGGGAAAGACUCCACGGAGGGUGUAAGACCCGUGUGGGCGCGUGUCAAAGCUGUGCGGGCUCGGCCUCUUUUCCCUGAGAGUCGCGUUGCUUGAGCAUGCAGCGCUAAGCAGGUCGUAAACUCGAUCUAAGGCUAAAUAUCUCCACAGAACCGAUAGCGAACAAGUACCGUGAGGGAAAGUUGAAAAGCACUCUGGAGAGAGAGUCAAAAGACCGUGAAACCGCUCAGAGUAUAAGCCCAUGGCAGCUUGGAAGGCAUAUCGCUAGCGGGGCAUCGGUCUCCCUUCACGGGGAGCUGGUGUUACCUUGCUUCUGUUGUGGCUCGUUAUGGUAGGGGGGUCAAGUCCACAUCCCGCCGUCGUGUGGGGAGUUCUCGGGCGUGUCGUUGCUUUGCGGUUGACUUCGGUUGGCCGUAGGGCUCUUCGCGCUUGGUUCUCCUUUUUAGACACGAACGUUCAGACUCAGUUGCAAGACGCGAUAACCAGCCCACCACGGCACGUUGUGAGGUCACCCACAGGCUUGGCUUUCGAUUGUGGUCCUUGACGCCGAGCAAGCACAAUGCGUGUCGCAGAUGUUCCUAACCGGGCAAUGGGCCAGGAUCGUGGAACGAUACGCGCUCAAAAGUCAGGACCGGGCGAUGACAAAGUUCUGGUAUGAUCCUCAUGCGACGAGCCGGCUUCUGGCCGAUUCCGAUGCUCAGGUCUCCCGCAUGUGCCGCGGGAGAUCGCUUUGGCGGUCUGGA